UACGUAGGGGGCAAGCGUUGUCCGGAUUUAUUGGGCGUAAAGAGCGUGUAGGCGGCCAGGUAGGUCAGCUGUGAAAACUCGAGGCUCAACCUCGAGACGCCGGUUGAAACCAUCUGGCUAGAGUCCGGAAGAGGAGAGUGGAAUUCCUGGUGUAGCGGUGAAAUGCGCAGAUAUCAGGAAGAACACCGGUGGCGAAGGCGGCUCUCUGGACCGAGACUGACGCUGAGGCACGAAAGCGUGGGGAGCAAACAGG
rnacentral:rRNA from 1 species